UUGAACGCUGGCGGCAGGCCUAACACAUGCAAGUCGAGCGGUUGAGAGUAGCUUGCUACUUGAUGCAGCGGCGGACGGGUGAGUAACGCGUGGGAAUCUGCCCAGUAGUGGGGGACAACAGCCGGAAACGGCUGCUAAUACCGCAUACGCCCUACGGGGGAAAGGGGGGGAUCUUCGGACCUCUCGCUAUUGGAUGAGCCCGCGUCGGAUUAGCUAGUUGGUAGGGUAAAGGCCUACCAAGGCUACGAUCCGUAACUGGUCUGAGAGGAUGAUCAGUCACACUGGAACUGAGACACGGCCCAGACUCCUACGGGAGGCAGAAGUGGGGAAUAUUGGACAAUGGGGGAAACCCUGAUCAAGCCAUGCCGCGUGGGUGAAGAAGGCCUUAGGGUUGUAAAGCACUUUCAGUGGGGAGAAAGGUUUGUCACCUAAUACGUGAUGAAAUUGACGUUACCCACAGAAGAAGCACCGGCUAACUCCGUGCCAGCAGCCGCCGUAACAC
rnacentral:rRNA from 1 species